AACGAACGCUGGCGGCAUGCCUAACACAUGCAAGUCGAACGGGAUCCUGGCUUCGGUCAGGUGAGAGUGGCGGACGGGUGAGUAACGCGUGGGAACCUGCCCAGUGGUGGGGGAUAACUGCGGGAAACUGCAGCUAAUACCGCAUGAGCCCGAGAGGGGAAAGAUUUAUCGCCAUUGGAGGGGCCCGCGUUCGAUUAGGUAGUUGGUGAGGUAACGGCUCACCAAGCCGACGAUCGAUAGCUGGUCUGAGAGGAUGAUCAGCCACACUGGGACUGAGAUACGGCCCAGACUCCUACGGGAGGCAGCAGUGGGGAAUAUUGGACAAUGGGGGCAACCCUGAUCCAGCAAUGCCGCGUGAGUGAUGAAGGCCGUUCGGUGUAAGCUCUUUGGUCGGGGGACGAGUGACGACGGUACCGCACGAAUAAGCCCGGCUAACUUCGUGCCAGCAGCCGCGGUAAU
rnacentral:rRNA from 1 species